rnacentral:lncRNA from 1 species
CCUCCUCUGCUUUUUGUUUUGGAAAGCAAAAGAUGUUUGGUGACUUUGUGAAGAAAAGAGUAAUAAAUUCUAGAAUGAAAAAGUGUUUUACAUUUAUGAUUCGACUGUGUCAGUGAAAUACUAUUACAAUAAUGUAGUUUUUCUGUAACAGGGAAAACGGCCGUCCGAACCUGAGGGUCGGAGUGACAGAUCGGCAGGGAAGAAGAGCUUGUGGGGGUGGGGUCGUAAGUCAUGUGCCACGUAUAUGCGAUGUCUGUGACAGGUCAGCUAUUUGUGUUUUGGUAACAAUUUUUAUCACAAUUUUUUUAAUAAUUAUAACAAAUUUGCAAUAAACUAGUUUACCAAAAUUCAUGAUAAUUUGGAUUUUACAUGCAUAGUAUUCUUGUAAAUUAUAUACACUAAUUUAAUAUUAAUCAGAAAUCGAACCCACGUAUCCAUGUAUCAUUUUCUUGGUUUUAAUGAAUUUCAAAUGACAAAAAAGGAUAGAGUCGCUUUUGCUUCUUUGGAAAAAUCAAUUUACUUCUACCAUUUUGGUACCCAUAAAAUUUUGGAGUUUAGUAUGUUUUCUUAUUUAGCUGAAUUUAAAACUUGAUUUAGUAGCAUAUAAAACAAAAUUGCUUUUCCUAUCCUUGAAUUAUUACAUUUUAGGUUUGAAUAAGUGUCAUAUAGUGUAUUGCAUCGAAUUAGACUCUUAGUCGUGUGAGGAAGCCAAUAGAGAAACUUCCAAGUGCUCAAAGCCAAAGCGAAAACGUUGUCUCCAAAAUCAAGGUCCCACCAAUAGAGAAAAUGUACACACCUGUUUGGAAUGUGUGUUUGUGUCCUCUCAGUCGUCAUGAUCACUUUGCCCCGAUGCACGCCAAAGCUUAUAACAUAAAACAAAAACUAAGAAAGCUUCGAUAUUAAGUUGUUUAUGAUGAUGAUGGUUGAUAGAAGAGUUAACGGGAUAUGAAUGUUAGUGAUGCUCUGUGAGUCGUCAUUCUCACUCCAUCUAUCAUUCCACUGUUUCUUCUUCAUGGUCCCAUACUUGACACUCACAAAGGAAAAGAAAACUACGGCUUCUAAUGAUUAUGAUCACACCAAUAUAGUUAGAACGAUUCAUUCUUGAAAUGGAGUAGACUAACAACUUUUCAACUUAGAACAAUCUUUUAGCUGCAUGUGUGCACACAUUAACGAGGACACAUCAAAACCUAUAUGAUGGGACCAUGUAAUUCAAUCGAUACCUAAAAAUAUAAGCGCUAUUAUAUACUCCUUAACCAUUAUGAAUUGUCGACAAUCAUCUCCUAGAAACUAAGUAAAUUUGCUAAUCAUAUGCCUACAAGACUAAUGAGCUAUGCAUUAUAUUUCAACCACUUGUAUUUUGAUAGAGGGAAAUUACUAGUUUAAAGGUUGAUUUAUCCACACGUUGUGAUGAUAACAAAAGGGUCGCAUAGUAUUCAUAAGCUCUUAUGAAAAGCGUUUUGCUUUACGGCUAAGCACACAAGAGGUCUAUCAAACCUAAAGUGAUAUGUAUAAAAGCCAUAGGCAUAUGAGAAAUCAUUAUCAAAAAUCAUAUGUGAAAAUAUCAUUGGUUAUUAUGAAUUAUGUCAUAGUGACGAAGACUCAAGAGUGGUGAACUUAAAAAACUGAAAUCAAACCAAAUUUCAUAAAUAUCCGAAUGGAUUUUAAUUAUAUCUAUGAAACCGAAAAAUAAAAACCGAACUCAGAACCAAAUCAUGAAUGAUGAAUUUUUUUUAUAUAUAGUUUAUAUACCUCAAAUAAUUAUAUUUAGUUUUAAAAUAACAAAAUAUCAUUAAAACACUAUCUUAUAAACGGAAUUAUCCAAAAAAUCGAAUUACGCAAAAUAUUUUCUUCUUUGGUAUUUUUUACAAAAAUCAAAUUAUCUAAAAUUUUCUUCUAAAAACAACUAUCCAUAAAUUUAUAUGAACAAAAACCGAAGCAGAAUCAAAUUGGAUCCAAACCUAAAAUCGAAUUAUCUAAUAUUAGCCAAUUUCUAAUUUUGUCAUCCGAACCACAAACCAAAAAAACCGAAUCGAACUUAUAUUUUAGAACCUAAAAAAUCUAAAACUAAAUUGCAACUAAGUGCAACUAUCAUAGACAUAGGCGUGUAGUAAAACCAAGAGCAAACUUAAAAAAAAGAAGUAAAUGUAAAGAAAGUCGGCAGAGCCUCUUCCAUUUAUUACUGAUGGAUAUAAGAAAAUGAGGAAAUGUAAAGUCACCCUUUACAAGAUGUGUAUAAUUUAGACGUAACUGAUGUAAUAAAAGCAGUUCAAAGAGAAAACAACCAAAGCAAAACCUUCAUUGCCAUCAUGGUUCGAAACACGUAAGCGGAUAAAAAGCUUUACCCGCGAGCAAAACGAGCCUGGAUCCUCCUCUGGAUCUUGGCCCGACAAGACGGACAAUCAUCCAUGGCUUCCUUCUCAUGAAGCUGAUUGCAUUUAGAGCAAAGAACCUGAUGAGCACAAGGCAAGAAUAUCACACUCAUCUCUUCAGACAAACACAUCACACACUCCCUCUCCCUUUUGAUCUUCCCCUCUGUCCUAUGAUUGUUCUCCCAAAUCAGACUUGCCUUUGUAGUGGUGGUACGAGUCAUUUCAUUGCUUCCAUCAAUACCUUUCUUCAACGCAGCUAUCUUCAAACAAUCUGACUUGAGUUUCAGCUUUGAGAUCUCGCUCUCCAGUCUCUUGAUGUUCUCGGUGUAGUAUCUCACGUCGUUUUCUGCUUUUGUUUUGAUUCUCUCUUCUUCUGCUUUUCCAAGUUCCUCCAGUUUCACUCUCUCUUCCUUUAGUGCAGUCGCUUGAGCAGCAAGUUUCUCCUUUGCUGCCUUUUCUUGUUUCCAAGUAGCCUGCAAACUUAGUUUCAUUAAUUAUCUUUCAUCACAUCUUCUUCACUCAGGACCGGAUCUGAGAUUUUGGAGGUUUAAAACAUUUCCAAAAAGUUUAAAUAAAUAAAAAAAAUCGCUUAAUUUAGAGCCUAUAAAAUAUGUAAAAAACCUUUAAAAAUUUUGUGGGCCAAAGCCAAUGUUUCAUUGGUCUUUGCCCAGAUCCGGCCCUGGACUGCACUUAACACUACAAUCUUUCACAUACCGACCACUUCUAAUCAACACAUCUUGAUGCAAAGAACCAAAAGAUACCUUCUCUGUUGAAGGAUAUGAUCAGUAAUCAAACAAGAAGACCUUAUACUUGCAAAAGGCUUUUUGUCUAACCUCAAUUUGGUUUUGGCGAUUUUUCGCCUUGGCAACUUCUUGCUGCAGCUCUGCCACCUUGUCUCUUUGACUCUUAACCUCUUCCUGCAACAAAACCUUCUGCCCUUCCCAUGACUGACUGCUCUUCAACGUCCUUUGCACUCUCUCCUUAGCUUCUUUAUAGUUCACAGCAGCCUCAACAGCUCUUAAGUUAGCAGCUUCCCUCUCUUUCCUCAACAGAGACUGUUCCAUCUCGAGCCUGCGAACCGCAUUGUUCGCUUUCUCGAGCUGUCUAGUCAUGUUACUCAAUGCAAACUCCAUUUCAGACCGCCUCUUCGUAUUACUCUCUUCUAAUAACUGCCUCUCUUUUCUAACCUCCUCCGCCUCUUCUUUCUCUUUCCUCAGCGCCUUGAGCUCAGGCUGGUCCUUGAGAAGUCUGCUGGUCGCCUGCUUUACUUUCUGAUUGGCCCAGUCAGUCCACACCUGAAGCUCAGUCUCCAGAUCUUUCAUCCUGGGAGCUAGCUUUAAAACCAACUCAUCUCUUUUAUUCCGGGGAACGUAGAUCCCUAGAGAUGCAUCAUAAGGGAUCCCAGUGUAGUAAUCCAGCGCUGGCUCAGAACCAGAAGGUAACAGUGCAGGUGGAGCAUUAACAGCAGGUAUGGCAGUAACAUAUCCACUCCCAUCUAAUGCUGGAGGAUCUUUCACAGUCUCUGAUGCUAUCUUUGAUGGUGAUUUGCCUCUCUUCUCCACUAGGAAGCCGCCGACCGACGCAUACUUUGCAGUCUUGUAGCCACUCCCUUUGCUGUAAGUUCUGAUCUUAUCCACACAUGAUUUUUGCCGCAUCAUGGCCACUUCUUUCUUGGUCCGGCCUUUUCGGCCGGACACUACGGAAGAAGCAGCAACAGAAGAAGAAGAAGCUAAGGUUUUUCUUUUAGCGACUUCACCAGAAGAAGAACCAUUACAGUUCUUGAAGUUCCCAAAUUUGACGACAGGUUCACUGUACUUUGUAGGAUUGCACUCCACAAUGCCAUCUCCUUCCAUCUCAAACGCUUGGAAAACAUUCAAGUCACACAUCAACAGCCUCCACAUGGCUUCGACCGUCGAAACAGACGGCCUAACUUCUUUAACAAGGCUUAUCUUCUCUACCAACGUAUACGCGACGAGCUGCUGCAGAUCUUCAAACAAAUAGUCUCUCAAACCAGAGACUUUCUUCCCACUCUUCAAGAAACUCAACGUAUCAUUCACAAUGUUGGAAACAAGAUCAUUCCCUCCGCAGUAGAGUCUGCUCCCUGAGAUAGCUUUGAGGACAACGUCCUCUCUGUACCCGCAAGCCACGAUCUGAUCCAUUGCGUUACGGAAGAGAGCCAUUAGAUUCGAUGUUAAGAGCUCUUCGAGAUAACAGGCAAACGGAUCAUCCCAUCCUAGGGACUCAGACUCUUCAGACAAAGGAGUUUGAAAUUUUAAUGAAUGUACUAACUCAUAUGGAGGGAACUCAGUUAAGGAAGAGUCAGUGAGAGGUUGAGGAGAGUCAGCUAACUUUCUCUUGUUCUUUCUUCCUUUCACUUGAGGCUGUGGUGGUGGUGACACUCCCACUUUGUUGGAACCAUUGAGAGAAGCAACAACCACACACUCGUUCAUUGCUUUCUGAGACUAUGACAAAAAGAAAAAAAAGAAACGAUUGCGUUCACAAAACGGCGUUUUGAUAGAUUCAAUAAACGAUAAAGAACGAAGCUUUUGAGAUGUAUAAUCAAACUCAAUUCACAUAUUACAAACAUAAAGGUAAUAAAGGAAUUAAAUCGAAUCGAGAUUGAAUUAAUCAAAUCAAUUAGCAAAAACUGACCGGAAUUGGAUUGAAAAGCAGGGGAAAGAUGAUCGGGGGAGAAUUGAUGAGAGAGAGGGAUCGAUGAAGAAGAGUGUUUCAGACAGAGAUUGUACUGUGAGGAGAAGACAGGAAGUGCGU